UAUCUCUGUAGAGUCUGCAUAUCAAUAAGCGGAGGAAAAGAAACUAACAAGGAUUCCCCUAGUAACGGCGAGUGAAGCGGGAAGAGCUCAAAUUUGAAAUCUUAAAGGGUUUCCCUUUACGAAUUGUAGUUUAAAGAAGUGUCUUCUGUUGGAGUUUCGGUAAAAGUUCUUUGGAAUAGGACAUCAUAGAGGGUGAGAAUCCCGCAUUUGACCAUUAUUUCCAACUUUGUGAUACACUUUCAAAGAGUCGGAUUGUUUGGGAAUGCAGUCCAAAAUGGGUGGUAAAUUUCAUCUAAAGCUAAAUACUGGCGAGAGACCGAUAGCGAACAAGUACCGUGAGGGAAAGAUGAAAAGAACUUUGAAAAGAGAGUUAAACAGUACGUGAAAUUGUCAAAAGGGAAGCAUUUGACACCAGUGUUGUUUUCUCGAAAAUCAAUUAAAAAUGGCGUGAUUUUGUGUUGUAUUGACCUUUAUAAGCUUUCUGCACUUUUUUCAUGUCUUUUUUAAUGCACUUUUCGUUUAACAAGUCAACAUCAGUUUCUUUUGUUGUAAAAAGGUCAUUGGAAGGUGGCUUUCUUUUCGGAGAAAGUGUUUAUAGCCUUUGACUCCUGCAAUCGGAGAGACUGAGGUCUGCAGCGUAGAUCCUUCUUGGAUUAGAUUCAUUUGUGCUAAGUUAUAGCUUUUUAUAGACAACUUGUUGACUAUAUUUAGUCUUGUAGCUUACUCGCUUAUGCAAUUUUACCUACGCUUAGGAUGUUGAACGCGCACAGAGUCUC
rnacentral:rRNA from 1 species